rnacentral:sRNA from 1 species
GCCGGGCAUGGUGGUGCAUGCCUGUAGUCCCAGUUACUCGGGAGGCUGAGGCAGAAGAAUCUCUUGAACCCAGGAGGCGGAGGUUGCAGUGAGCCGAGGUCACGCCACUGCACUCCAUCCUGGGUGACAGAGCGAGAUUCCGUCUCAA